rnacentral:rRNA from 1 species
AGGAAUAUUGGUCAAUGGGCGUAAGCCUGAACCAGCCAAGUCGCGUGAGGGAGGACGGCCCUACGGGUUGUAAACCUCUUUUGCCGGGGGACAAACGGCGGCACGCGUGCCGUCCUGAGGGUACCCGGAGAAAAAGCAUCGGCUAACUCCGUGCCAGCAGCCGCGGUAAUACGGAGGAUGCGAGCGUUAUCCGGAUUUAUUGGGUUUAAAGGGUGCGUAGGCGGGCUGUUAAGUCAGCGGUCAAAUGUCGGGGCUCAACCCCGGCCUGCCGUUGAAACUGGCGGCCUCGAGUGGGCGAGAAGUAUGCGGAAUGCGUGGUGUAGCGGUGAAAUGCAUAGAUAUCACGCAGAACUCCGAUUGCGAAGGCAGCAUACCGGCGCCCUACUGACGCUGAGGCACGAAAGCGUGGGUAUCGAACAG